GCAGCUUCACCUCCCAACAUAUCCUUUCCAUUUGUUGCUGUUACAUUAUUGUAACUUAUUCUUCAAUAUUUAAUGAACAGCAUCUUGGCUUUUAAAAGAUGAAUAAUUCAAAGGUAUGGAGAGAUGCUAAGAGCUUUGUUGGACCUCUGAAAAUGGCAUAUCCCUAAUCACGUUAUAUUUGCUUUGUUUCAUUGAUAUUUUUUAACGUGUUGAUAGGUGGGGAAAUGUAUAGAAAAGUGGAGCAUAAGAGGAAGAUCACUAGUUUUCUGUUGCUUUCCUGUUGAUUUUUAAAAAGUUCCCUCAGGAUGUUUUUGGACUACAAAUCCCAUAAUCCCUGACCAUUGAGGGUAAAGGAGCUGUACCCAACAACAUCAAAGUGGGGAAACAAGCUGGAGUCUUAUCCCUGGUUUCCUUGAAGUAAGCAGCAUUGAACUCAAUUGAACUUAUUUCUUUUUAUUAUUAUUCACAUUUAUUAAUUUGAUUUAUAUCCCAUGCUUUCUCCUGAAGGAGUCCAUGUACAGGAUUGUGUUCUUAAUGCAUUCAUGCAUUUAACUUCACAUCUGGCCUUUAGCCACAUAAAUUUUUAGCUUCUGUAAAGGGAACUACCUUUAUAGUUUGUCCAGGGGAAGGUUUUUGUUAACCUUUUUCUUGAAAAUUUCUUGAAAAAUUCCACUUUCUGUCAUUCAUAGUGAUAGAUCAACAGGCAUCCCACUGAAUAUUAAUAUCUCCCUUUCUCCCUCAAUAUUUGUGUCUCACUUUCUCUUUUGCAUCCCCCCAUUUCAGGCAUUUCCAUGCUUUCCUGAACGGAUAUGCCUGUGAAACAUAAACUCUGCUUAUGUUGAUUGUGUAUCUUAUCUAGCACAUGUUCCUCAUGGCUGUAGUUGUAAUGUUAUAGAAACAGAAUGCAUUUGUUUGGAGAAAACGUAUUGCCUGCAGUAAGUGAGCCUGCAUUUAUACUUAGUAAUUUAUUUAAUUACUGUUACUAAAACUGGCGACAUGUUUACUGCUCAUUUUAUCAUUUGCUCUUUUUAUCAUUACCACUUGUUACGUAAUGGAGAACUUAUUUGUAUCAGAAAAAUCUGUGCAACUGCAAGGAUCCAUUUAAGAGGUUGGGGUAGGUUUUUUUUGUUUGUUUGUUUGUUUGGAGGCACCACUGGGAUGGUUGGGGUAGUUCUAAUCUUUAAUAACAAUUUUAAAAGUUAAGACUCCAAUCCUAUGCAUGCUUCCCAGGGAGAAAGUAAAUGGGGCUUAAUUGUGAGUAGAAUGCAUUGCACAUGAUUCUAAUAUGUAUUCAUGCAUGUUAUUGCUAUUGUACAUUUAUGAAAUACAUUGUGAGCAUCAAGGUUCUGUUGACUCAAAUCUGUUCACCAAGAAUACAUGUAUUCUGGCCUCCCUAGGGCAACAGGAUCCCCAAAUUCAUUUCUUAAGAAAUAUGGGUAAUCUGGUUUCCAGAAUGGUUACCGUAUGGAGACUCAGAGAUUUUCUUACAUGGUAUAUCAGGAAAACAGAAGAGAUAACUUUCAGAAAAUUAAGAAGGUGUUCCAUCAUUCAUAGGCCUAGGUAAGGGGAAUUCCACAGCGGAAGUGGGAUAGCACACACAAUUGCAAGCAAUUUUGCAGUUAUGUAUGCAAGAAUAUGUGAAUAGAACAACUGGAACCAUUUUGUGAUAGCCAGUGAUACCAUGCAUAUGUUAAAAUAUUUACAUGAAUAAAAGGGCAUUGACCCACACUGUAGUUCUGUUAAACGGAGGGGGGGAAUGCAGAUAAGAGGCAGCUAGGACAUUAAGCAAAUGUUUUUUUUUUCUUUUUAAAAAAUGAAACAAGUAUUCAAUGGCUACUACCUCAGCUCACUUUUGAUUGUGGAUUGUAAUGCUAAACAGGAUUCUUGGAGUGGGUCUCUGGAAUUUCCCUUGUUAAACUUCAUAAUUUCUCCCAUCCACUCUAAAAAAGCAUUAAUCUUUCCUAGCUGAAACAGGGAGCAAAAAAUGGUGCACUACCCAUUAAAAGUAAUCCAACCCUCAGAGAGAAGAGAUCUCGGUGACUCCAUCUGUAUAGCCUGAAAACAAAGCAGCACAUCUAAUGCAUAGACCACCAAGAUAAUUCAUUGCUCAUAUGGGAGCCACUAUACCCAUGCAUUAAAAGGUAAUUUCCUCCAACAUGAUGGAAAUGUUUUCAUAAGAAUUGAGCAGAUGUUCACAGAUCAGGCAAUUUUAAUGUAAAUGUAAAGCUGGGUUUGUUUGUUUGAUUUGGUGGUGGUUGCUUUUUUUAAAAAGAAUUUUUUAUUAUUUCAUUUGGGUCACUUUAUUAAUACAAAAUACCACAGGCACUCUAAAACAGCAAAUGGAAAAAAUUAUCCCUUUUGCCCCCCAAGAAUGAGGGGGAUAUGGCACUUAAUGAAGUUAGAAGGAAGUGGCAAUUUGAUUCUCAAUCUCAGAGGGCAGAUAUAUACAACAAAAAGCAUGUGUUUUACUUAGGGCCUUCCAGGACAUAUCCUUUAUACUGUGUGCCUUACUAUUUUGGGUGUGUGUGCUGCCUAUCCUGUCCCUCAUUGCCAGGCAAAGAGCUUAAAUGCCCAGCUCUGUUUCUGCCCAAGGUGUUAAUGCAUAGAUCUAAUUGGUACAUAGAGAAGGCACAGGUUACAGAAUGUGGAAGGUACAUAAGAGGUAUAGACACAUGCUAUGCACAAGCAACGCUUUCCCUGAACCUUCCUUUUGAAGGGCAAGUGAACUAGGCAAGCAAAAGGCUUGCUAUUUGGGACUUUUCCUCCUGUUUACUCCAAAGGCUUAAAAAAGUUGGCCAGGUAUGGCAAUGUGGGCUUGAGUGAGCACAUCUUUGUUUGGGACUCUGUCAUGCCAUGUGAUACCUAAAGUCUUCCAGAUGAAGCACAUGUGGAAGGCGUUGAGGCCUCGCUUCCAUAAAGCAGUGUGCUGAACAGGCAAGCCUUGGCAGACCUUCAUUCUUCCAUACCCUUUUGGAGAGGCAAGCUACAGCCAUAGCUGCCUUUCUAAUAAUGCUUGUCUAGCUCAGCGUCAAUGGAGAGGUUGCUGGUUAUGGUGGAACCUAGGCAGACAAAAUAGUCUAUCACCUCAAGCGUGUGGUCACCAGUGCUGAUUCAUUGAGUGUUGGUGACGUCCUGACCCAGGAUGAUGGCCUUCAUCAGGCUGAUGGUAACUCCCUGCAGGCUUGGGCAAAACAGUUGAUGAGUCUCUGUAGAUUUGGGCUGCACUGUCACGGCUGUGUCAUCUGCAAACAACAUCUCUCAGAUAAGAAACCACCACAGUUUUGUCUUGGUGUGGGGACAUGCCAAGUUGAACAGACGCCUGUCACUCCUCAAAUGGAAGUACGGUGGUACCUCGAGCUACAAAUGCCUCAGGUUACAAACACUUCAGGUUACAAACUACGCUAACCUGGAAGAGUUACCUCGAGUUGAGAACUUUGCCCCAGGAUGAGAACGGAAAUUGUGUGCUGGUGGUGCAGCGGCAGCAAGAGGCCCCAUUAGCAAAAGCACGCCUCUAGUUAAGAACAGUUUCAGGUUAAGAAUGGACCUCCAGAACGAAUUAAAUUCGUAACUAGAGGUACCACUGAACACACUGUCUUCAGUUGAGCUGAAGGUAUAUGAGACCACUAGGGAGAAGAAUAUGCCAAAUAGAGUUGGGGUGAGGACACAGACCUGUUUCACACCGCUCUUUAUGGGGAAGGCAUCCGAGGAUGAGCUAUCUACUGGACAGUGCCGCACAUGUUCUCAUGCAAGAACACCGUCACAUUGUGAAGCUUAGGGGCAUCUCUGCUCUCAGCAUUUCUCCUGCAGCUGGCACAGUGAGAAAAUCAUGUUGACGGUUGACUUCUAAAGCUACAUUAUGACUCUGGAUAGACCCUGUCAGUGAAUACUCAGCAGGGGGGUUCCAUGGUAGUUGUUAUUGUCUUGGUGGUCACCUUUGUUCUUGCAGAGGAUCGAGCAUGUCUUUUGGCAUAGAUCCUUUUUCCCAACACUGCAAGAGGAGGCCAUGGAGGGGUGUUACAAAGAUGUCUACAAAUGAGACAUGAAGGUUGGCAACAUCAACCCCACCAUAUGGGAAUCCCUUGCAGACAACCGCAGUGCUUGGAGACCGAUGGGCAGGUCUUGCAUCCAUAGCAGUGACCAAAGGAGGAAUGCCUGCUAGGAGGACUGCAGACAGAAGAAAUGCCAUUGUGCUUCUGCAGCAACACAGCUGGAUGCCUUCAUCUGCCCCAGCUGCAACAAAACAUGUCUCUACUUUUUGGACUCUACAGCCACAGCAGGCACUGUAACCUUCCAACAAUUGGACUUCACCCACAAAGUAUGCCACAAAGGCACACUUCUCUACUGUCUCCCAAGGUAGACGGAUGCCAACAACAGCUGAGUUGGUUCAUAAGAAAGAUCAAAUUGCUAUUGAAGACACAGCAUCAGGUUGGCCAGUUAACAACCCUUGCAGCUAUUUUGCAGAAUAGCCUAUAAAUAGCUUUGUGGUUGUUCUGCAUGAUAAAGCCUCUGAUCGGUCCCAAAAUAUGUAAUGAUACCGAUAGUAUUAUGUGUGUUGACUAACACAAUACACAUCUUUGGUUUUACUGAAUGUAUUUAUUUAUGCUCUAUAAAGGGAAGAUUUCAUUAAGAUCAGUUUGUUCCUCAGUAGGCAUUUGAGGACAGUCACUGGCACCCUGACAACAAAAGCCUGUCAUAUGAUUCAGAAUUUCUUCAUUCCACAAGAGGUCAGAUAAACAGAGCCUCCCCAGCUCUCCCAAGGGAACAUCUAAAGCAUCUCCAAGUCACAACAAACUAUGGGUGUUCCUGUACACAAUCAAGAGAUGUGCAAAUAACAUUGAGGUCAGCUCAUGUUUUAAAAAUUCAUUCUUAGAGAUGCACAAUGGAGAAAUGCUUUAUUAAUCUGCAGUUGUAUUAUUUUCCAGCCAUGGAAAAUAUCAAAAUCUAUCAAAAUUGUACAAAUGUUAACACAGUGACAUAUUCCUUAACUAUAGCCUGAUAAGAUCCUGAAUGUGUUAUAAUGUUUCUGCUGAAACCUGAGUCAUGAUCUUUUUGGGUUUUUGGGGGGAUUUUGCUCAACAAUUCUCAUGGUAGAAAAUGGAAGGUGGAGAAUUUUUCAGGAUCAAGUGCACAUUAGGCAUUAUGGGAUUCUUUCUUCAGCUGGUGCUUAAAACAAAAACAAAAAAAUGAAGCCGCUUGAGGGAGAUGGAAAACAAGGAGAGACUGCUAAGUCCCCUCCCUUUCUAUUUUGCAAGCAAAAACCCAGCCUCCUCAAGCUGAUGUUUCUCCCACAAUAAAAGGGAACUUACAGGAAAUGUGUGCAGUCAAAAGCAACACUCUGUUCUUUGGUUAGGCUUUCUUCGCUUCACUGAAUUCUAGCUCCAUAACUCUAUUUUCAAGUUUUGCAAGUUUGUAUUCAUUAGAAAUUACCUGUUUAAUAGGAACGUGUUAUGUACUGAGUUGAAUAGGAUCAAAAAGGCAGCAGUCUGAUUGGUCCUAGAACAAUAGGAUUCAGAAUGCAGCAGUCUGAUUGGUCUACAGGAGCCACCCAAACCAGCUCCAGGUGGAAGUGACUCCGCAAUCAGAUUGGCCUACAGGUGAAUCCUGGAAUUAGCCAAUCAACGUGGGGCCCAUUGUGUAAAUAAUGUAUAUAAAGCAGACAUUCUGGGGGAACUUCCAUUCCUCCUCACCACAAUGAGCUGAAUAAAGAGCAUGAAAUCC
rnacentral:lncRNA from 1 species